UGAAUACGAGAUGCUAAGGCGUCGAAGUAGUGUAUGUCAUACUUCCAAGAAAAGCUUGCACUGUCAUAAAUAAAAAUGCCUGUACCAUAACCGACACAGGUGGGUAAGUAGAGUAUACUAAGGGGCGCGAGAUAACUCUCUCUAAGGAACUCGGCAAAAUGACUCCGUAACUUCGGGAGAAGGAGUGCCUUAUUCUUAAGGUUGCAAUAACAAGAUCCAAGCAACUGUUUAUCAAAAACACAGGUCUCCGCUAAGUCGUAAGACGAUGUAUGGGGGCUGACGCCUGCCCAGUGCCAGAAGGUUAAAGAAGUCGGUUAGCAAUCGCGAAGCUGGUAACUGAAGCCCUGGUGAACGGCGGCCGUAACGAUGACGGUCCUAAGGUAGCGAAAUUCCUUGUCGGGUAAGUUCCGACCCGCACGAAAGGCGUAAUGAUUUGGAUGCUGUCUCGGAGAGAGGCUCGGUGAAAUAGACUUGUCUGUGAAGAUGCGGACUACCUGCACCAGGACAGAAAGACCCUAUGAAGCUUUACUGUAACUUGAAAUUGAAAUUGGACUUUAUUCGCGCAGUAUAGGUGGGAGGUGUUGAUUAUAAUCUUGCGGGAUUAUUGGAGCCAUCAGUGAGAUACCACUCUUGUAAUGUUAGAUUUCUAACUUUGAAUCAUUAUCUGGUCAAAGGACAAUUUCAGGCGGGCAGUUUGACUGGGGCGGUCGCCUCCUAAAUGGUAACGGAGGCGUACAAAGGUUUCUUCUGAACGGUUAGAAAUCGUAUCUAGAGUGUAAAGGCAUAAGGGAGCUUGACUGUGAGACCUACAAGUCGAGCAGGGACGAAAGUCGGUCUUAGUGAUCUGACGGUACUGAGUGGAAAGGCCGUCACUCAACGGAUAAAAGUUACUCUAGGAUAACAGGCUGAUCUCCCCCAAGAGUUCACAUCGACGGGGAGGUUUGGCACCUCGAUGUCGGCUCAUCGCAUCCUGGGGCGGUAGUACGUCCCAAGGGUUGGGCUGUUCGCCCAUGAAAGCGGUACGCGAGCUGGGUUCAGAACGUCGUGAGACAGUUCGGUCCAUAUCCGGUGUAGGCGUUAGAAUAUUGAGAGGAGCCUUCUUUAGUACGAGAGGACCGAGAAGGACAUACCUCUGGUGUACCAGUUAUCGUGCCAACGGUAAACGCUGGGUAGCUAUGUAUGGAGUGGAUAACCGCUGAAAGCAUCUAAGUGGGAAGCCCACCUCAAGAUAAGUAUUCU
rnacentral:rRNA from 1 species